rnacentral:rRNA from 1 species
UACGAAGGUGGCAAGCGUUACUCGGAAUUACUAGGCGUAAAGCGCAGGUAGGUGGUUUGGUAAGUCUGUUAUGAAAUCUCUCGGCUUAACCGGGAGGGGCUAAUGGAUACUGCCAGGCUCGAGUGUGGGAGAGGUAACUGGAAUUCCAGGUGUAGCGGUGAAAUGCGUAGAUAUCUGGAGGAACACCAAUGGCGAAAGCAGGUUACUGGCCCAAUACUGACACUGAGCUGCGAAAGCUAGGGGAGCAAACAGG